rnacentral:rRNA from 1 species
CACUCCUGCGGGAGGCAGCAGUGGGGAAUUUUGGACAAUGGGCGAAAGCCUGAUCCAGCAAUGCCGCGUGCAGGAUGAAGGCCUUCGGGUUGUAAACUGCUUUUGUACGGAACGAAAAAGCUCCUUCUAAUACAGGGGGCCCAUGACGGUACCGUAAGAAUAAGCACCGGCUAACUACGUGCCAGCAGCCGCGGUAAUACGUAGGGUGCGAGCGUUAAUCGGAAUUACUGGGCGUAAAGCGUGCGCAGGCGGUUAUGUAAGACAGAUGUGAAAUCCCCGGGCUCAACCUGGGAACUGCAUUUGUGACUGCAUGGCUAGAGUACGGUAGAGGGGGAUGGAAUUCCGCGUGUAGCAGUGAAAUGCGUAGAUAUGCGGAGGAACACCGAUGGCGAAGGCAAUCCCCUGGACCUGUACUGACGCUCAUGCACGAAAGCGUGGGGAGCAAACAGGAUUAGAUACCCCAGUAGUCCCAUGAU